CUCUGUGACUCCUACGGGAGGCAGCAGUGGGGAAUAUUGCACAAUGGGGGAAACCCUGAUGCAGCCAUGCCGCGUGUGUGAAGAAGGCCUUCGGGUUGUAAAGCACUUUCAGUAGGGAGGAAGGUAGUGUAGUUAACACCUGCAUUAUUUGACGUUACCUACAGAAGAAGCACCGGCUAACUCCGUGCCAGCAGCCGCGGUAAUACGGAGGGUGCGAGCGUUAAUCGGAAUUACUGGGCGUAAAGCGCAUGCAGGCGGCCUGUUAAGUCAGAUGUGAAAGCCCCGGGGCUUAACCUCGGAAUUGCAUUUGAAACUGGCAGGCUAGAGUCUUGUAGAGGGGGUAGAAUUUCAGGUGUAGCGGUGAAAUGCGUAGAGAUCUGAAGGAAUACCAGUGGCGAAGGCGGCCCCCCGGACAAAGACUGACGCUCAGAUGCGAAAGCGUGGGGAGCAAACAGGAUUAGAUACCCUGGGAG
rnacentral:rRNA from 1 species